rnacentral:lncRNA from 1 species
CAGCCUUUCUUCUAAAAUCACUUCUGUCAGUAGUUUCGCCCUCACUCUUUUCACAGCAAAUAUAACAGAGCUGCCUCUGGUUACUCAAGUCUUCAGAAGCUCUGCAAAAUUUAAUAAAACAGCAAACAUAGUUAUAUAUCCAGCAGCCAUUUUAGACAAUUAAAUGCAAUUUUCAGUUUCACUACACAAAUUUGGUAAAUUGGAGUCCAGGCAUUGCUUUGAACUCUGAUGAAAGGAGUAAUUUCUAUUCCAAGGAAGGCUGUGUCUGAUUUAGACUUUCGCCAUCACCAUCCACAGCUGUCUUGACCACUUUAUUCCACUAGAUGGCAGACUUGGGAUGCUACAUGUAACUAACUUCUGAACAAUAAGCAAAAGACUAAGAAAAAACAAGACCAUAAAAAGGCGCUCACUUGGUUUAAGAUGAAAAAGUUACGGUGACUGCCCUCCAGAGCGACAACCUAGAAAAAGGAGAGACGUGGUGGGAGAGCGAGAAGACGGCGGGUGCAGCGCCAGGAGGCUGUGGCACCAAGUAGCGCGACCUCGAAAUCAGAGUGCAGGACCCAGAACAGAGCGGCGGGUGCGGGACCGCAAAGCUUCGGUCACAGACUUUGGGCUUCACCACCAUGUGACUUGCUUUGAUCAAUGGAAUGUGAGUGGAUGUGAUAGUAUUCCAGUUCCUAAACGAGACUUUAUGAUGUGAUGUGUGUUACCAACUGCUUUCUUGCACUCCUGCUCUGCACCAAGAGAAUAUCCCAAGUAGGUGGCACUCUUUCGACUUUGGCCCUGGAAUGAAAAGACACAUGGAGCAGACCUGAACCUACCUGCAGCCUCGAUUAGAACUGUAGCAGCAAUGUGUGAUGAAAAGGAAGGAGAAAUAAAUGCUGGUUUUUGUAAGUCACUGAGAUUCUUGAGGUUAUUUGUUACACAGCAAAACCUAAUGAAAGCAGACUAAGAUGCUAAGUAAACAGAUCAGAGGCAAUGGACAACAUGCUUCUUCCAAAUGUAACAUAAACUGUCUUCAUAAU